GAACUCGAUGCGUGCUCUCGAAAGAAGCUCAUUGCACCAAGGGUCCCAGCGGGAGCCGUCAUUGCCUUUGAGGCCAGUUGGUCGUCGCCAACCAACGUGGGCCCAACACCAAACCCGAGGUUUGAGGGGGGAUAAUGACGCUCGAACAGGCAUGCCCUUCGGAAUGCCAAAGGGCGCAAUGUGCGUUCAAAGAUUCGAUGACUCACGGAAAUUCUGCAAUUCGCAUUACUUAUCGCAUUUCGCUGCGUUCUUCAUCGAUGCUCGGAAUGUC
rnacentral:misc_RNA from 1 species